UACGUAGGGUGCAAGCGUUAAUCGGAAUUACUGGGCGUAAAGCGUGCGCAGGCGGUUUUGUAAGUCUGUCGUGAAAUCCCCCGGGCUCAACCUGGGAAUUGCGAUGGAGACUGCAAGGCUAGAAUCUGGCAGAGGGGGGUAGAAUUCCACGUGUGAGCAGUGAAAUGCGUAGAGAUGUGGAGGAACACCGAUGGCGAAGGCAGCCCCCUGGGUCAAGAUUGCGCUCAUGCACGAAAGCGUGGG
rnacentral:rRNA from 1 species